CACGUAGGGCGCGAGCGUUGUCCGGAAUUUAUUGGGCGUAAAGAGCUCGUAGGCGGCCUGUUGCGUCCGCUGUGAAAGCCCCGGGGCUUAACCCCGGGCGGUGCAGUGGAUACGGGCUGGCUGGAGGCAGGCAGGGGGAGAACGGAAUUCCUGGUGUAGCGGUGAAAUGCGCAGAUAUCAGGAGGAACACCCGUGGCUAAGGCGGUUCUCUAGUACGGUACUGACGCUGAGACGCGAAAAGCGUGGGGGAGCGAACAGG
rnacentral:rRNA from 1 species